rnacentral:rRNA from 1 species
UGGAUUUCUGUUGAGGACGGCCGGUCCGCACUAUGUGCGUGUAUCUGGUUCGGCCUUGGCAUCCUCUUGAGGAACGUUCCUGCGCUUGAUUGCGUGGGGCGGUAUUCAAGACUUUUACUUUGAGGAAAUUAGAGUGUUCACGGCAGGCAAGCGCCUUGAAUACAUUAGCAUGGAAUAAUAAUAUAGGAUCUUGGUUCUAUUUGUUGGUUUCUAGGGCUAAGGUAAUGA